UACAGAGGGGGCAAGCGUUGUUCGGAAUUACUGGGCGUAAAGGGCGCGUAGGCGGCCUUCUAAGUCGAACGUGAAAUCCCUGGGCUCAACCAAGGAACUGCGUCCGAUACUGGAAGGCUUGAAUCCGGGAGAGGGAUGCGGAAUUCCAGGUGUAGCGGUGAAAUGCGUAGAUAUCUGGAGGAACACCGGUGGCGAAGGCGGCAUCCUGGGCCGGUAUUGACGCUGAGGCGCGAAAGCCAGGGGAGCAAACGGG
rnacentral:rRNA from 1 species